AGCGAACGCUGGCGGCAGGCCUAACACAUGCAAGUCGAACGAACCUUUCGGGGUUAGUGGCGGACGGGUGAGUAACACGUGGGAACGUGCCUUUAGGUUCGGUAUCACUCAGGGAAACUUGUGCUAAUACCGAAUGUGCCCUUCGGGGGUAAGAUUUAUCGCCUUUAGAGCGGCCCGCGUCUGAUUAGCUAGUUGGUUGAGGUAAUGGCUCACCAAGGCGACGAUCAGUAGCUGGUCUGUGAGGAUGAUCAGCCACAUUGGGACUGAGACACGGCCCAAACUCCUACGGGAGGGAGCAGUGGGGAAUCUUGCGCAAUGGGCGAAAGCCUGACGCAGCCAUGCCGCGGGAAUGAGGAAGGUCUUAGGAUUGUAAAAUUCUUUCACCGGGGACGAUAAUGACGGUACCCGGAGAAGAAGCCCCGGCUAACUACGUG
rnacentral:rRNA from 1 species